UAACACAUGCAAGUCGAGCGAUCUUCUUCGGAAGAGAGCGGCGGACGGGUGAGUAACGCGUGGGUAACCUGCCCUGUACACACGGAUAACAUACCGAAAGGUAUGCUAAUACGGGAUAACAUAAGAAAGUCGCAUGGCUUUCUUAUCAAAGCUUUUACGGUACAGGAUGGACCCGCGUCUGAUUAGCUAGUUGGUAAGGUAACGGCUUACCAAGGCGACGAUCAGUAGCCGACCUGAGAGGGUGAUCGGCCACAUUGGAACUGAGACACGGUCCAAACUCCUACGGGAGGCAGCAGUGGGGAAUAUUGCACAAUGGGCGAAAGCCUGAUGCAGCAACGCCGCGUGAGCGAUGAAGGCCUUCGGGUCGUAAAGCUCUGUCCUCAAGGAAGAUAAUGACGGUACUUGAGGAGGAAGCCCCGGCUAACUACGUGCCAGCAGCCGCGGUAAUACGUAGGGGGCUAGCGUUAUCCGGAAUUACUGGGCGUAAAGGGUGCGUAGGCGGUCUUUCAAGUCAGAAGUGAAAGGCUACGGCUCAACCGUAGUAAGCUUUUGAAACUGUAAGACUUGAGUGCAGGAGAGGAGAGUGGAAUUCCUAGUGUAGCGGUGAAAUGCGUAGAUAUUAGGAGGAACACCAGUUGCGAAGGCGGCUCUCUGGACUGUAACUGACGCUGAGGCAC
rnacentral:rRNA from 1 species